rnacentral:rRNA from 1 species
GACAGAGGGUGCAAACGUUGUUCGGAAUUACUGGGCGUAAAGCGCAUGUAGGCGGCCAAGCAGGUCGGAUGUGAAAUCCCUCGGCUCAACCAAGGAAGUGCAUUCGAAACCGCAUGGCUCGAGUCCCGGAGAGGAAGGUGGAAUGCUUGGUGUAGAGGUGAAAUUCGUAGAUAUCAAGCGGAACACCGGUGGCGAAGGCGGCCUUCUGGACAGUGACUGACGCUGAGACGCGAAAGCGUGGGGAGCAAACAGG